ACCAUGGAGAUAUUGAUAUUAUUGUCACGUAUGCUUUUAAGUGAAACUCAACGGUACAUUUGCACGUGCUACUGAAGUCCAAAGCAAUUCUGACAUGCAAAUCGACUGUCUGAUUUUGGUACAGGGUCGAAGUCUAAUCGAAUAAUCUAGCAGUUAGCUCCUCUGAAAUUCCCCUCAAGACAGCUCGAGUAUAUAAUGAAGCUGUUAUAUUCGACAAAACGAAUGAUUGGAGGAAUUGUGGGACGAAACAGCUUCAACCUUUCAAUGAGUAUGACGUCUUGUUUGCUUGAAUGAAGCGUAGACAUUGAAUGUGUGUUGCUCCAAGUAGGCCGUUUUUGGUAAGCAGAGCGGAAAGAACCAAACGUUGAAUUAAAGUAUACAUCUUCCACUAAUCAUCGCUUCGUCUUUAUAACUUGCAAAUUCAGCUAAAACAACCGAUGUACCAACUUUGACCAAAUUUAUAGCCAGAAGAAAAGUCAGAUUGAAUUGUGAAUGACCGAAGUAUCCGCAAAGAUCAGAAUAAUGAGGGAACGA
rnacentral:ncRNA from 1 species